AUAAGGGGAAAAGGCGCUGACAAUUCCUCUGUCCAUCACCCCAGGAUAAACACAUCUCAAGAGCCCUGUGCUACCAUUUUACUGGCAGCGCUUAUUCUGGGAAGAGAAAACGAGAAGGAAACACUACGUUUUGAAAGCAAUGAGGGAAGUGCUCUCCUUACGCAACCAAUUUCCCCUUCUAGCCAGAGCCUUCCCAGUUGUGAUUAGCGAGGGAGGAGAGAGGAAACCCACAAGCAUCCACACUGAGAGCCAUGAGCAGCCUCCACGGCGCAGAGCAGGAUCCCUCACACUCCAGAACAUGAAACCUCGGGGUGAGAGUAACACCACCAAUAUUAUAAACUGGCGUUCCAGUGCUUUCUCUAUGGGCACAGACCCCAGCAUUUUGAUUUAAUAUUUGAUUUGAUCCUCACCUCAUAUUAAAAGAUCUUGCUGAGAAUAACUGACUGGGAACCUAGUACCCACCACCACAAGGAGAUGAAAUAACUCCACAGUGAAAUGAACUACAAAAACUAUCAAGUGCAAGAGUCUACACAAACACGCAGGCACUUUCUUUCAGACCACUACACAAACUGUGAUCAUCCUAAGCUCUGAGAAAACAACAGGGAAGAGAAGCCUGGCCUACAGGAAACGCUGCACUCCCUGUGACAGAACAGGGGGAAGGGACGCUUCCCUGGGAGCCUCCACAAACUCUGGGGUAAGGACCGUAAAGACCGUUUCCUGUGGAAACGGCAUUUCAGGUGGGCUCUCCCCCAGCACUGCUGCUCCAGUCAGAACACACCCACGGGACGGUGAGACGAAGAUCCCAACAGCGCCCACCUCAGGGGAGAUGCAGGGCUCACGUCCCCACGGCACAGCCUCAGAAGUUCUGGCGUUUUACUGUUUUACCAGAUUUCAAGAUAGCAGGGUUUUGUCCCCAUUGCCUCUCCCUCCUCCAAAAACUAAAGCCCCUUAUUCUGUACAGAACACUCUUCCUUAGGACUGAAGGCUAUCCUUUCAAACUGUGAACACGUUUGUAUCUUUUUGUCCCAUCCAGACUGAAACACACUAACAUACUACCUUGGGGUACCUCUGCUGAGGUGGGGGGUGAGGGCACAGGAAAGGAGCUGCUGCAACCACACUGCUACUCCUCAGUAAAAAACGUUAUCAGGUCCAUAAUCGCCCAGUGAUUCUCCCACUUCCCAACGUGAGUUACCAAAGUAGGGUUGGAGUCCCAGCUGAGUUAGCGUCCCUGAUUUACAAGUACAGCAGGUGCUACUAAAUGCCUACUGGUUGCCAAGGUCUCAUCUUUCCUACUUGUAAAAUGGAACUAAAAAUCUUCCCCACUGGGCAUGGUGACGCACACCUAUAA